GAUGAAGAACGUAGCGAAAUGCGAUAAGUAAUGUGAAUUGCAGAAUUCAGUGAAUCAUCGAAUCUUUGAACGUACAUUGCGCCCGCCAGUAUUCUGGCGGGCAUGCCUGUUCGAGCGUCAUUUCAACCAUCAAGCCCCCGGCUUGUGUUGGGGACCUGCGGCUGCCGCAGGCCCUGAAAUGCAGUGGCGGGCUCGCUGUCACUCCGAGCGUAGUAGUUACAUCUCGCUCUGGGCGUGCUGCGGGUUCCGGCCGUUAAAAGCCUUAUUUACCCAAGGUUGACCUCGGAUCAGGUAGGAAGACCCGCUGAACUUAAGCAUAUCAAUAAGCGGAGGA
rnacentral:misc_RNA from 1 species